AUGAUAGAUAUGAUGGCUUUAACCCAGUCCCAUGAUAGAUAUGAUGGCUCUAACCCAGUCCCAUGAUAGAUAUGAUGGCUCUAACCCAGUCCCAUGAUAGAUAUGAUGGCUCAACAAAUGUUUAUGCUAAAGACUAGCUAGUGUCUCCUCUCCUCUGCUCUGUCCCUUCUGGUUGUAGUACACAGACUGCAUGUGGAUCUAUCUCUCUGUCUCUCUUUCACUCUCUCUCUGUCCCUCUCUCUCUCUCUCUCUCUCUCUCUCUCUGUCUCUCUCUCUCUUUCACUCUCUCUCAUUCUCUCUCUGUCUCUCUCUUUGUCUCUCUCUGUCUCUCUCGCUCACAAACUCCCGACUCUAAUUACGAAACCCUGCCUAUUGUUUUAUGCAUGAGAUAACUGAGAACUGCUGGUACACUGCUUUGCUUUGGUUCAUGUGCAUCACGCAAUGCUAAAGCUGUUUAGAAUUCAAGAGGGAUUAGGGAAGGUAAUUUCUGAGAUAGAGUCCAAAUUUCAGUUGGGUUGUUAUAUACAGUGACUGUCUUGUGAUGUUUUGUUUUCCAUGAUUUUCUUUGAGAAACAGUAUUUCACAAUUACUGUCAUUACUUCCAAAGCAUGUCAUUCCUGUUGAUGGUACACUGUCUUUCAUUGGUUGAAUAUGUUUUUCCUCCAAUGAUAGUGGUGUUGUUGAUAUGCAAUCUGAAUCUACAAAUUCUCGUCACAUCGAUGUAUAAAUGUUAUGCUCAGCUCUAUGUGGCAGAUAAUCAGUAUUUUGCAGUAACUUUCAUUGUAAAUAUGUGGAAGAUAUUUUUUUUACUCGCAUGUAUAUUUUUUAAAUGUGUAUAUUGUGCUUGAUUUGAUACAAAUAUUGAUAUAGGAGUGAAUUUGGUCCCUCAAUCUCUGUUAGGUCCUCAUACUUGUCAGUAUCCAAGUGUUACAGCAUUAGUUAUUGUAAUAAAGAGUAAUAAUUUCAAUAAGGAACCAACUGUCCAGCCAAUAUAUUUGCAUAUUUGUAAAUCAUCAAUAAAUCUGUGACGCGCUAUUUUGUUUGUGUGCGCGUACCCAUUCAUGUGUGCCACUGAAUGCAUGUCCUUGUCCUUGAAUGCAUCACAGGAGGUUGGUGGCACCUUAAUUGGGGAGGACGGACUCGUGGCUGGAGCGGAAUUGGUGGAACGGUAUCAAACACAUCAAACACAUGGUUUCCAUGUGCUAGAUGCCAUUCCAUUUGCUCCGUUCCACCCAUUAUUAUGAGCCGUCCUCCCCUCAGCAGCCCCCACUGGUGUGCGUGUGUGGUAGAGCCAGAAACCCAUCCCCCAUCACCCUCUCUCUACCCUCUCUUCCCUCCAUAUACCUGAUGGACACUCAUUGGAUGGUAAUGGGAUUCAUAUUAGAGGAGGCUGGCGAAGAGCAGCAAGGACAGAUAUCCUGGAAAGCAAUGCAUAUCAAUAAGGAAUAAACGCCAGGAGAAAUGGACUCGCUAUUCUCCCUCCUCUCUCUCGUUACAACGUUACCAAUGUACUGUCUGAAAAUACAGCUCAAGGUCUCCCGCCAGUCUUUCUGCUUUUCACCUGGACAGUUAUAGUGCCAGUAUAUGGCAUAUAAACAUGUUUUAUCUCUUUAGAUCAUUGAAACAUCUGCCGUUUUUUUGACGAGUGUCUAGAGGAGACCUUUAAAAGUCAUUUAAGAAGUCUAUAUAUCUACUUUAUAAAUAUGUCUUGAGUGAAGGAGGUUGGGGG
rnacentral:lncRNA from 1 species